GGUUAAGCGACUAAGCGUACACGGUGGAUGCCCUGGCAGUCAGAGGCGAUGAAGGACGUGCUAAUCUGCGAUAAGCGUCGGUAAGGUGAUAUGAACCGUUAUAACCGGCGAUUUCCGAAUGGGGAAACCCAGUGUGUUUCGACACACUAUCAUUAACUGAAUCCAUAGGUUAAUGAGGCGAACCGGGGGAACUGAAACAUCUAAGUACCCCGAGGAAAAGAAAUCAACCGAGAUUCCCCCAGUAGCGGCGAGCGAACGGGGAGCAGCCCAGAGCCUGAAUCAGUGUGUGUGUUAGUGGAAGCGUCUGGAAAGGCGCGCGAUACAGGGUGACAGCCCCGUACACAAAAAUGCACAUGCUGUGAGCUCGAUGAGUAGGGCGGGACACGUGGUAUCCUGUCUGAAUAUGGGGGGACCAUCCUCCAAGGCUAAAUACUCCUGACUGACCGAUAGUGAACCAGUACCGUGAGGGAAAGGCGAAAAGAACCCCGGCGAGGGGAGUGAAAAAGAACCUGAAACCGUGUACGUACAAGCAGUGGGAGCACGCUUAGGCGUGUGACUGCGUACCUUUUGUAUAAUGGGUCAGCGACUUAUAUUCUGUAGCAAGGUUAACCGAAUAGGGGAGCCGAAGGGAAACCGAGUCUUAACUGGGCGUUAAGUUGCAGGGUAUAGACCCGAAACCCGGUGAUCUAGCCAUGGGCAGGUUGAAGGUUGGGUAACACUAACUGGAGGACCGAACCGACUAAUGUUGAAAAAUUAGCGGAUGACUUGUGGCUGGGGGUGAAAGGCCAAUCAAACCGGGAGAUAGCUGGUUCUCCCCGAAAGCUAUUUAGGUAGCGCCUCGUGAAUUCAUCUCCGGGGGUAGAGCACUGUUUCGGCAAGGGGGUCAUCCCGACUUACCAACCCGAUGCAAACUGCGAAUACCGGAGAAUGUUAUCACGGGAGACACACGGCGGGUGCUAACGUCCGUCGUGAAGAGGGAAACAACCCAGACCGCCAGCUAAGGUCCCAAAGUCAUGGUUAAGUGGGAAACGAUGUGGGAAGGCCCAGACAGCCAGGAUGUUGGCUUAGAAGCAGCCAUCAUUUAAAGAAAGCGUAAUAGCUCACUGGUCGAGUCGGCCUGCGCGGAAGAUGUAACGGGGCUAAACCAUGCACCGAAGCUGCGGCAGCGACGCUUAUGCGUUGUUGGGUAGGGGAGCGUUCUGUAAGCCUGCGAAGGUGUGCUGUGAGGCAUGCUGGAGGUAUCAGAAGUGCGAAUGCUGACAUAAGUAACGAUAAAGCGGGUGAAAAGCCCGCUCGCCGGAAGACCAAGGGUUCCUGUCCAACGUUAAUCGGGGCAGGGUGAGUCGACCCCUAAGGCGAGGCCGAAAGGCGUAGUCGAUGGGAAACAGGUUAAUAUUCCUGUACUUGGUGUUACUGCGAAGGGGGGACGGAGAAGGCUAUGUUGGCCGGGCGACGGUUGUCCCGGUUUAAGCGUGUAGGCUGGUUUUCCAGGCAAAUCCGGAAAAUCAAGGCUGAGGCGUGAUGACGAGGCACUACGGUGCUGAAGCAACAAAUGCCCUGCUUCCAGGAAAAGCCUCUAAGCAUCAGGUAACAUCAAAUCGUACCCCAAACCGACACAGGUGGUCAGGUAGAGAAUACCAAGGCGCUUGAGAGAACUCGGGUGAAGGAACUAGGCAAAAUGGUGCCGUAACUUCGGGAGAAGGCACGCUGAUAUGUAGGUGAAGCGACUUGCUCGUGGAGCUGAAAUCAGUCGAAGAUACCAGCUGGCUGCAACUGUUUAUUAAAAACACAGCACUGUGCAAACACGAAAGUGGACGUAUACGGUGUGACGCCUGCCCGGUGCCGGAAGGUUAAUUGAUGGGGUUAGCGCAAGCGAAGCUCUUGAUCGAAGCCCCGGUAAACGGCGGCCGUAACUAUAACGGUCCUAAGGUAGCGAAAUUCCUUGUCGGGUAAGUUCCGACCUGCACGAAUGGCGUAAUGAUGGCCAGGCUGUCUCCACCCGAGACUCAGUGAAAUUGAACUCGCUGUGAAGAUGCAGUGUACCCGCGGCAAGACGGAAAGACCCCGUGAACCUUUACUAUAGCUUGACACUGAACAUUGAGCCUUGAUGUGUAGGAUAGGUGGGAGGCUUUGAAGUGUGGACGCCAGUCUGCAUGGAGCCGACCUUGAAAUACCACCCUUUAAUGUUUGAUGUUCUAACGUUGACCCGUAAUCCGGGUUGCGGACAGUGUCUGGUGGGUAGUUUGACUGGGGCGGUCUCCUCCUAAAGAGUAACGGAGGAGCACGAAGGUUGGCUAAUCCUGGUCGGACAUCAGGAGGUUAGUGCAAUGGCAUAAGCCAGCUUGACUGCGAGCGUGACGGCGCGAGCAGGUGCGAAAGCAGGUCAUAGUGAUCCGGUGGUUCUGAAUGGAAGGGCCAUCGCUCAACGGAUAAAAGGUACUCCGGGGAUAACAGGCUGAUACCGCCCAAGAGUUCAUAUCGACGGCGGUGUUUGGCACCUCGAUGUCGGCUCAUCACAUCCUGGGGCUGAAGUAGGUCCCAAGGGUAUGGCUGUUCGCCAUUUAAAGUGGUACGCGAGCUGGGUUUAGAACGUCGUGAGACAGUUCGGUCCCUAUCUGCCGUGGGCGCUGGAGAACUGAGGGGGCUGCUCCUAGUACGAGAGGACCGGAGUGGACGCAUCACUGGUGUUCGGGUUGUCAUGCCAAUGGCACUGCCCGGUAGCUAAAUGCGGAAGAGAUAAGUGCUGAAAGCAUCUAAGCACGAAACUUGCCCCGAGAUGAGUUCUCCCUGACUCCUUGAGAGUCCUGAAGGAACGUUGAAGACGACGACGUUGAUAGGCCGGGUGUGUAAGCGCAGCGAUGCGUUGAGCUAACCGGUACUAAUGAACCGUGAGGCUUAACCUU
rnacentral:rRNA from 1 species